GGUAAGCAGAACUGGCGAUGAGGGAUGAACCUAACGCUCGGUUAAGGUGCUAAACUGCUCGCUCAUCAGAUACCACAAAGGGUGUUGGUCGAUCUUAACAGCAGGACGGUGGUCAUGGAAGUCGAAAUCCGCUAAGGAGUGUGUAACAACUCACCUGCCGAAUCGACUAGCCCCGAAAAUGGAUAGCGCUGAAGCGAGUGACCGAUACCGGGCCAUUGUUGCAAGAUAAUUGGCAACAAUGAGUAGGAGGGCGUGGGGGUUGUGAAGAAGCUUGGACGUGAGUCUGAGUGAAACAGCUUCCAGUGCAGAUCUUGGUGGUAGUAGCAAGUAUUCAAUAAGAGAACAUUGAAGGCCGAAGUGGGGAAGGGUUCCAUGUGAACAGCACUUGGACAUGGGUUAGCCGAUCCUGAGAGACAGGUUAAAUUCCAUCGGAUUGGAGCUUUGGCUCUGUUUCUCGAAAGGGAAGCUGGUUAGUAUUCCAGCGCCGAGACGUGGAUAAUAUGUGGCAACACAAGUGAACUCGGACACGCCAUAGGGGACCCCAGGAAGCGUUGUCUUUUCUUUUUAACAGUUCGACUUACCCUGGAAUCAGAUCAUCUGGAGAUAGGGUUUUCGAACUGGAAUAGCACCUUGUCUAACAGGGUGUCUGGAGUGUUCUCGCUGGCCCUUGAAAAUCCGAGGGAUAGAUUUAUUCGCACUCUCGAUCGUACCCAUAACCGCAUCAGGUCUCCAAGGUUAGAAGCCUCUGGUCCGUAGGACAAAGUAGAUAAGGGAAGUCGGCAAAAUAGGUCCGUAACUUCGGGAAAAGGACUGGCUCUGAGGUUUGGUAUGUGGAACCUGGAUUAAUCGUUGGAGUCGAGCAGAGACUACUUGUUGCUCACGUGACUUGUGGACUCCUUGCUUGAUACCUUCAAUUGAUCCAGGCUGCUUCGGCGCUCUGCAUGCACUUAACAAACAGCUCAGAACUGGAGCGGACAAGGGGAAUCCGACUGUUAAUCAAAACAAAG
rnacentral:ncRNA from 1 species